UACAGAGGUCUCGAGCGUUGUUCGGAUUCAUUGGGCGUAAAGGGUGCGUAGGUGGCGCCGUAAGUCGGGUGUGAAAUUUCGGAGCUUAACUCCGAAACUGCAUUCGAUACUGCGGUGCUUGAGGACUGGAGAGGGGACUGGAAUUCAUGGUGUAGCAGUGAAAUGCGUAGAGAUCAUGAGGAAGACCAGUGGCGAAGGCGGGUCUCUGGACAGUUCCUGACACUGAGGCACGAAGGCCAGGGGAGCAAACGGG
rnacentral:rRNA from 1 species